rnacentral:lncRNA from 1 species
CUUUAAAUAUUUUGGUGCCCAUACCGAACGGGGUAUGAGGAUGGCCCUGGAAUUAAGUUGUUUAAGUUAAUGGUUCACGUGUAGCGGUGACCUCUAUGGAUCCCCAUGGAUACUGGUAGACUGAUAAAAGAGGGAAAUUGUUGUUUGAUGAUUGAAAAAUAAAAGUAUGACAUGUGCUAUGUUACAGAGUAUGUAUGAAUUCAUGAUAUUUUGAUGUUAUUGUUUCUAUGAGUCGUUUUCAUAAAUCUCACCGAGGUAAG